rnacentral:tRNA from 2 species
GCGGGCGUAGCUCAGUGGUAGAGCGUCACGUUGCCAACGUGAAUGUCGAGGGUUCAAGUCCCUUCGCCCGCU